CAGGAGGAAAAUCAAAUAAGAGGAUGCAACAAUAGAGAAAGGAACCACAGAAGAUAGGAGAAUGGAUAGCAAGAGGAAAGAUUAAUUCAAACUGGAAUAGGUGCAGAGAAGAGCUACUAGGAAGGAGUGGAAAAGAGCUACAGAAGAAUGGAGAACCUGUCUUAUCAGAGAAGACUUAUGGAGCUUGGCUUGUUUAGCCUAACAAAACAAAGGCUGAGAGGAGAUAUGAUUGCUUUAUAAAUAUAUCAAAGAGUUUGCUGAUUUCCUGUUAAGUCAAGAUCCCGGUUGUCAUGAGUCCACUAUGCUCUACCAGGAGUCUCCUCAGUAAAUGGCUAAUGAAAUGUCUUUUUGCUUCUCCUUAUAUUUCCCAAAGUUUAUUGUCUUUGUUUCCAGAGUCAGGAUGAACUCCUGGGGUUUAGACUCCUGUGCCUUCCCAUGCUGAUUUCAUGCUCCACAUCAGCCUGGCAUUUCCUGUAGACUUCCAUGCAAAUACAGCUCCUAUUGCAUUUGGCUCCACAAUGCUCAAUUUACAUUAAAGACAGGGAUAUAGCUACUUCCCUCCUGGCUGGAAGAAGACCUGUUUCUCCCUUUUGUUUGGUUACAGACUUUAAAUCUAAUAUCAGUAAGGAGCCAUAAUUCCUCAUACACUAUUAAUACAUACAUUUCAAGAUUAUAUUAAAGAUCAAUGUAUUACUAGCUGGCAUUCCAUAACUUACACGACACUCUUUAUAGAGCAAUACUAUGACAGCAAUGCAUUAGGUGUUUAUCAGGCUUGAUAAGAGUUGGUGUUACAUGACGGUGGACUCUUUGCCAGUUGGCAUUGAGGGUCUCUGAGGGCCACAAGCACAUCCUGCUCACUUUACCCACUGCAAUAUCCCCAUUGAAGUAAAGGGGACUCCAAGUUGUGGUAUGGAUUUUGUGACUCUUACUCCUUCUGGCUGAGAUUUUCAAAGCCACCUGAAGGAUUUGGACACCCAACUGCCAUUAGAAAUUAAUAGGAGUUGAGUGUCCAGAUCCCCUAGACAGUUUUGAAAACCUUGCCCUCUGAGUUGUCCUACUGACCUCAAUGGGCCUGCCCAUGGGGUAAGGUGCUAUUCAGCAUCAGUGCAGCAGAAUCCAACCUGGGUGUGUAAAGUGAGCAGGAUUGGAGCAAUGACUGUCAUGCUAAAACUAUCCUCAACAGUCAUUUAAAGUUAAAAUGAUUUACUUGUAGGCUUUCUGAUCAGUCCAUGGAAAUUUUAUGGCCUUAUGCCCUGGUUUAUGAGCCUUGAAAUGAGUUUAAAUUAGCUUAGUAGCACUUGGAAAAGUUGGUAAUGUCUUUCCUUAUUUGGCUGGGGAUGGGAGGAAUUCUUUCCUGAAUGUAUUGUUUUUCUUAGUGUGUUUGCUGCUGCUGUUUUUUUUUUAAAUGUGAUUCAAAAGUGUACAAGGGCAAAGGAAAAAGGGAUCACUUUCCCAGCUCUCUUGAAUGUCCCAGAUGGGCUUCAAUUAUUAACAUAAUAUGAAAUUCUGUUUGAAACAAAACAUCUUUUCUACCCUGGAGUAAUUAACACAGUUUACCAAUUUCCUUUCAUGUUAUCUAUACUUAAAAGGGCACACUUUCAAAAUGUGUGUGAGGGGGGAUAGGUAGGCACACAAAUCCCUUUAUGUAUGAAUGGGAUUUGUUCAUACACUUCCUACACACAAGUAAAAUAAGUACAGGGAUCAGAAACUACUGAGCACAACUUUUUUCUUGGAAGUCAAAAUCCUAUUAUUUCCAAAGGGCCUGCCAGCUCUACCAGUGAAUUUAUGCUUCAUUAUAAUUAGAGCUGCUUGCAUUCUAUUAACAAAAUACUUUGUAAUUUGUAUAUACUUAUCUUUAGACAAUUAUGGUUAUUUCCCCGCUCUUUUGCUGUUCCUAGUUGAUUAUUAAAGCAAACUGUUGAGCCCUAAUAAUAAUGUACAAUGUAUUCCAGACAUCUAAAGACAUGCCAGACUCACCAGGGGAAAUCAAUCACAUUUUAGUAUUCAUUCUCAAGCAGCCUACUGUUCUGUCACUGUGGGCAUGUCUUACUGUAGUACUCCAUUCGAGUCCUACAAGCAGAGAGGCUCCAACUGACAAGUUCAGAAGUACAGCUGACACUCUGCAUAUGCUAAUCAUAUCUGUGAAUGGAAAAACAAAGCUAUUGUGCUGUGUGCAAAGACAGUUGUGGAGCUCUAGGAUACAGUUGACCUUAAGAACCUCUCUAUCCAGCCUUGAACCUUUAGGCUUUAAAGGGAAUCAUCCUAAAUCCAUUCCAUAAGCUUGUGGCGGAUUUGGAAUACUUUUACUUGAGACUGUUUAGUUGCUUUAAGAGGUCAUUAUUGACCCCAUCAGUUUCACGGCAAAAUGUUCUAGUUUGAAUUUAAUAUCUUGAAAAAGAUCUUUGAAAGAAAUAACAUUGUGAUUUGACAAGUGGGCACUGUCUGUUAAUUUGUGCAUCUUUUUAUAAGAAAUUUGGGUGAAUGGUGUUUUUAUCACAUUAGUUUUGCAGUUGAUCAAGCCUCUGUAGUGUUGAACAUGGGGAAAAUCGGGGUUUAGAUCUGGAAUACAUCUGAACUUCCUGGCUCAGGAUUAUUUUAGAACCCCAAAUCUGAACAGCCUCAAACUUUGGGUAAGUUUGUGUUUGGACAUGAAUCCAGAUUUCUACUUUGUAGAUCAGGCCCAUCUCUUCUCUAUUUACUACAGCAGCCCUGUUAUUUCCUGUACCUCAUUAUACCAUGCAUAUUCCCUGCAUACAGCACUUGCCAAUUGAUGGACACUUUCUCUUCUGAUUCCGCACUGCAGUCCUUGCUGGUUGUUGUUCUGCCCUUAAAUUCUAUUAGAUAUAACAUUUAAUACUACAAAAGUCAAUGAAAGUUCAUAAGACCCUUAAAUCAGUAGAUCCUUCAAGAAAGUGUAGGUUUAAAGUAAUAUAUACACCUCUGGACUGCUGGAAAAUGUUAUUUAAGUUUUUCAUUUCCUGAAUAACAGUUUUAAAUUAAAUAAUCUGUGUGAAACCAAAGUUGUGAGGUGAGUCAAUGCUAAUAAUAGUUUACUUAGGCUAUAUGUUGAACCAAGAGAAAUUGAAAAGCAUCCAGUUUCAAACUUCAGUACAAGUGUUCAAAACAAGUGUUUUGUUUGGGACAAAAAUCCAAAUCACUCUACUUCAAAAUCACUGAAUAAGAAAUUGACUGCAUUAGACUCUCUUCAGGUCACUACAUACCUUAUAGGCUUGAUUCACCACUGCUUUUGCAAAUGGCUAGCUUCAGUGGAUGAGGGAGUCACCAUUGACAGAAGGCAGGUGUCAUUUGCAACAUAGCCUCAUCUCUACGGUUUCAAAAGUGGGAGGGUAGCUUUCACUUGCAGCCAGGGAGAUGGUGGAUGCUGCCAGAAAGAUAGAUCAUCAAAUUCUACGGCAGACCUGGUUGUGUGAUAAAAAUGACUCAAGUGUGUCUGGAAAAUGCAGUGCUGUCAAAAUCAAAACACUCUCUGAAAUUGUGCCAUUUUUGCCAAAAUCUCAAUUUUGGACAAAAUGGAGCAAAAUUCUGACACUAGAACAAAAUAUUUCAUUUUUUCAUCUUGAAAUGAUAUUUUGUUUCAAUGGUUUUAUGUUGCAUUAUAUAAAAUAGGUCUAAAUAGAAAUAACUUUUUCACUCCCAAUUUUAUUUUAUUUUAUUAGAAUUUUCUUUUGUGGAUAACAUCAACAUUUUGGAUUUUUGCUCCAAAUUUAACUGAAAAAAAAAAGAGGUCAAAAUCUUGAAAUCCUUUGCAACAUGAAAUUUUCAUCCUCUGCACAGCACUAGUUCUUGUUUGUUUGUUUGUUUGUUUGUUUUUGUUUCAUUUUUUAUCCAUAGUUUGAGGAGUUUAACUGUAAACUUAAUUGUAAAGUGUAAACCCAGUUGAUCUUUCAAAUUAAAUAAAUGAAAAGGUUAAAGUAUAAACUGUAUAAUGCCGUGAAUUACUGAGGCACAGAGACCAAAUCAUUGGCA